GUGGCGAUCUCACCCUUUGCUACUUAUACGCUAACAGCGAGUAAAACUGUAAGACGCAGUCACACAACUGGCGACUUGUCCAGGAUGUAACCUGCCUCUCUCUGCAUGUUAGCUGGGAUAGGCACCAGCCCCCCUAUGACCCUGAAUUUUGGUAAGCAGAACAAGAUGGAUGGAUUACCUACUCCAACUCCAGUCAGCUAAGAACCGUGCAUCUUGCACUCAUGUCUUCUACGGAUAACCAAUUCUCACACACCCAGGUGUCAACAUGAUGUAAAAGAAAAUGUGACUCAUCAGACCAGGCAGCCUUUCUGUUUUGCUCCCCGGGAAGGUUUUGGUGGUAUAUUCAUGCAUGUGAAGGUUCUCAGUCAUCCAGGUCAUGGUACACUAAGGAACUUGGAAAGAAAAAUGACUGGACUCCUUCAAGUUUUUUGAAGAUGUUUCACCUCUCAUCCAAAAAGCUUCUUCAGUUCUAAGACCAAAUGGUGGAGAGUCCCAGAUAUCUUCAACAUGUUCACUCUGAUACGUCUUGGUCAGCAUCACAAUUUACAUCUGUAAUUUGGCCCUUGUCAGAUUUGAUCAGUUUAUUACAUUUGUCCAUUUUUUUCUAUGUUUUCUGUAAUUUAAUGUUCUCCUGCUGCCUAUCGUGGCCCUCCCCGUGUUGUGACUGAUGAGUGUAGUUCUGUUACAUAAGAUCCAUCUGUGUCAUUUUUAAACAUACACACACAGCAUUGUUUAAGUUUACUUAAGAUAUUACAUGUGAUUUACAGACAGAAACUGAGCCAUAAUCCUUCCAUGC